AUUGAACGCUGGCGGCAGGCCUAACACAUGCAAGUCGAACGAGUGGCGGACGGGUGAGUAAUGUCUGGGAAACUGCCCGAUGGAGGGGGAUAACUACUGGAAACGGUAGCUAAUACCGCAUACCAUCGGAUGUGCCCAGAUGGGAUUAGCUAGUAGGUGGGGUAACGGCUCACCUAGGCGACGAUCCCUAGCUGGUCUGAGAGGAUGACCAGCCACGCUGGAGCUGAGACACGGUCCAGAGUCCUACGAGAGGCAGCAGUAGGGAAUAUUGAGCAAUGGGCGCAAGCCUGGUGCAACCAGGCCGCGUGUAUGAAGAAGGCAUUCGGGUUGUAAAGUACUUUCAGCGAGGAGGCGUUACUCGCAGAAGAAGCACCGGCUAACUCCGUGCCGACCGCCGCGGUAAUAC
rnacentral:rRNA from 1 species